rnacentral:rRNA from 1 species
UUUUUAAUAUAAUAUUUGAUCCUUUCGUACUAAAAUAUUUAUUAAAUUUAAGAUAGAAACCAACCUGGCUCACACCGGUUUAAACUCAGAUCAUGUAAAAUUUUAAAGGUCGAACAGACCCAAUAUUUUAGCUUCUUCACCAAAAAUAAAUUUUAAUCCAACAUCGAGGUCGCAAACCUUUUUUUCAAUAAGAACUAUUAAAAAGAUUACGCUGUUAUCCCUAAGGUAAUUUAAUCUUAUAAUCAUUUUUAUGGAUCAAUAAUUCAAUUAUAUUUGUUUAAAUAAAAAAAAAGUUAAAUUAAUUUUUUUGUCACCCCAACAAAACUUAAAUUAAAUUAAAAAACCAUAAUCCUAAAAUCAAUAAUUUAAUAUUUAGUUAAACUCUAUAGGGUCUUCUCGUCUUUAAAUAUUAUUUAAGCUUUUUAACUUAAAAAUAAAAUUCUAUUAAUAAAACUGAAACAGUAAUUUUCUCAUCAAACCAUUCAUACAAGCUUUCAAUUAAAAAACUAAUGAUUAUGCUACCUUUGCACAGUCAAAAUACUGCGGCCCUUCAAAAUUCAGUGGGCAGGCCAAACUUUAAAUUAAAAUC